AGAGCGAACGCUGGCGGCAGGCCUAACACAUGCAAGUCGAGCGGCCGUAGCAAUACGGCAGCGGCAGACGGGAUAGUAACACGUGGGAACGCGCCCUUCGGUUCGGAAUAACUCAGGGAAACUUGAGCUAAUACCGGAUACGCCCUUACGGGGAAAGAUUUAUUGCCGAAGGAACGGCCCGCGUCCGAUUAGCUAGUUGGUGAGGUAAUGGCUCACCAAGGCUCCGAUCGGUAGCUGGUCUGAGAGGAUGACCAGCAUCACUGGGACUGAGACACGGCCCAGACUCCUACGGGAGGCAGCAGUGGGGAAUAUUGGACAAUGGGCGCAAGCCUGAUCCAGCCAUGCCGCGUGGAUGAUGAAGGCCUUAGGGUUGUAAAGUCCUUUUAACGGGGAAGAUAAUGACGGUACCCGUAGAACUAAGCCCGGCUAACUUCGCGCCAGCAGCCGC
rnacentral:rRNA from 1 species